AGGAUGAGAAUAUGUGAGAAGGACAACUCUGCAGAUACCAAGCCCUUGGAGGAGACUCAUACCAGAGCAGACGGAUGCCUGAGAGGAGGCUGUGACCCUGUGGGAGGCCCAUGGACAGAGAAUCCUGAGAUGCAGCUACCUAUACCUGAAGGACUGCACCCUCUGGAAGAAUGACCCACUCUUCCCAAUAAAGUGUUUGGUCAAAAGAAAGAGCAUUAAAUGCACCUCAGGGCAGAAAGCAAAAAUU